rnacentral:lncRNA from 1 species
GUGGAGGAUUGCAGAAGAACCAUGGGGUUAAUGAUGGUGGCAUCCCCUUUGAGACGCUCAGCCAGCAAGUGUCUCAGAAGGGCAAGGACAAGAGCAUCAGUGAACAAUAUCUGGGAAAAAAGGAAUCUCUCACUACUAUCUACAGUGAGGUCUGUUAUCCAGACCAGACCAUGGAGAUCAUUUGAUUGGAGGAAGCAGGAGGAUCUGGCACUCCCAGGACACCUGCAUUCUGAGCCUAAGUCCUGCAGACCCCUGCCUUUCCCAGCUCUGGUUCAGUUCCAGCUUCCCCUUGUGUGUGUUACUCUGACCUCAUAGCUACAUUUCUAGAGGGUAAACAUGGCCUGGUUGUACUCUGUGACACUUCCCAAGCUGCCCUUACACUCGGGCAAGGACUAUUCUCCAUCAUUGAGAUGGCUCCUGACCCCUGUUCUUCAUAAGCCUUCCCAAGAGGAGCCUGUCUGAUUGAGCAGGUGUCAAGUCCCCACCACCUCUGCCGUCACUGGUGUGUGUACUUCUGACGACACAAGCCCAGACACAGGGACUGUGCAGAGGUGCUGACUGUGCUGCAGAGGAGGGUGGUGGGACCUGGCUUCUGGAUGCUGAGUUGGAGGACAGCGUGGAUGGAUAGAAACCAAUAAAGGAAAAGGCCAAGGCAAAU